rnacentral:rRNA from 1 species
AUUGAACGCUGGCGGCAGGCCUAACACAUGCAAGUCGAGCGAGCGGCGGACGGGUGAGUAAUGUAUGGGGACUGCCCGCUAGAGGGGGAUAACUACUGGAAACGGUGGCUAAUACCGCAUACUAUCGGAUAACCCAUAUGGGAUUAGCUAGUAGGUGGGGUAAAGGCUCACCUAGGCGACGAUCUCUAGCUGGUUUGAGAGGAUGAUUAGCCCCACUGGGACUGAGAACAGGGCCCGACUCGAAGGGAGGCAGGAGGGGGGAAUAUUGCCAAAUGGGGGGAAGCCUGAUUCAGCCAUGCCGGGUGUAUGAAGAAGGUCUUAGGGGUGUAAAGGACCUUCAGGCGGGAGGCGUUACCCGCAGAAGAAGCACCGGCUAACUCCGUGCCAGCAGCCGCGGUAAUAC